rnacentral:rRNA from 1 species
CCUACGGGAGGCUGCAGUGGGGAAUAUUGCGCAAUGGGCGAAAGCCUGACGCAGCGACGCCGCGUGAGGGAUGAAGGUCUUCGGAUUGUAAACCCCUGUCAGCAGGGAAGAAAGGUCACUGUGCUAAUCAGCAGUGAAUUGACGGUACCUGCAAAGGAAGCACCGGCUAACUCCGGGCCAGCAGCCGCGGUAAUACGGAGGGUGCGAGCGUUAAUCGGAAUUACUGGGCGUAAAGCGCUCGUAGGCGGUCUGGCAAGUUAAGGGUGAAAUCCCCGCGCUCAACGUGGGAACUGCCUUUGAAACUGGCAAACUGGAGUGUGUGAGAGGAUAGUGGAAUUCCAGGGGUAGGAGUGAAAUCCGUAGAUAUCUGGAGGAACAUCAGUGGCGAAGGCGACUAUCUGGCACAUAACUGACGCUGAGGAGCGAAAGCGUGGGUAGCAAACAGGAUUAGAUACCCGAGUAGUC